GACGAACGCUGGCGGCGUGCCUAAUACAUGCAAGUCGAACGCAGUGGGGACGGGUGAGUAACACGUGGGUAACCUCCCAUCAGAGGGGAUAACCCUUGGACACAGGUGCUAAACCGAUACUGAUGGAUGCACCCGCGGUGCAUUAGCUAGUUGGUGAGGUAACGGCGCACCAAGGCCACGAUGCAUAGCGGAGCUGAGAGGGUGACCGGCCACACUGUGACUGAGACACGGACCGGACGCCGAAGGGAGGCAGCAGUGGGGAAUCUGCGGCAAUGGACGAAAGUCUGACCGAGCAACGCAGCGUGAGUGAAGAAGGUUUUCGGAUCGUAAAUCGCUGUUGGUAGAGAGGCGGUAUCUAAACAGAAAGCCACGGCUAACUACGUGCCAGCAGCCGCGGUAAUAC
rnacentral:rRNA from 1 species